rnacentral:rRNA from 1 species
AUUGAACGCUGGCGGCAUGCCUUACACAUGCAAGUCGAACGGCAGCAUGAUCUAGCUUGCUAGAUUGAUGGCGACGAGGGCGGACGGGUGACGUAUACAUCGGAACGUGCCCUGUAGUGGGGGAUAACUAGUCGAAAGAUUGGCUAAUACCGCAUACGACCUGAGGGUGAAAGUGGGGGACCGCAAGGCCUCAUGCUAUAGGAGCGGCCGAUGUCUGAUUAGCUAGUUGGUGAGGUAAAGGCUCACCAAGGCGACGAUCAGUAGCUGGUCUGAGAGGACGAUCAGCCACACUGGGACUGAGACACGGCCCAGACUCCUACGGGAGGCAGCAGUGGGAAUUUUGGACAAUGGGGGCAACCCUGAUCCAGCAAUGCCG